rnacentral:rRNA from 1 species
GGAGGAAAAGAAACCAACUGGGAUUACCUUAGUAACGGCGAGUGAAGCGGUAAAAGCUCAAAUUUGAAAUCUGGUACUUUCAGUGCCCGAGUUGUAAUUUGUAGAAUUUGUCUUUGAUUAGGUCCUUGUCUAUGUUCCUUGGAACAGGACGUCAUAGAGGGUGAGAAUCCCGUUUGGCGAGGAUACCUUUUCUCUGUAAGACUUUUUCGAAGAGUCGAGUUGUUUGGGAAUGCAGCUCAAAGUGGGUGGUAAAUUCCAUCUAAAGCUAAAUAUUGGCGAGAGACCGAUAGCGAACAAGUACAGUGAUGGAAAGAUGAAAAGAACUUUGAAAAGAGAGUGAAAAAGUACGUGAAAUUGUUGAAAGGGAAGGGCAUUUGAUCAGACAUGGUGUUUUUUGCAUGCACUCGCCUCUCGUGGGCUUGGGCCUCUCAAAAAUUUCACUGGGCCAACAUCAAUUCUGGCAGUAGGAUAAAUCAUUAAGAAUGUAGCUACCUCGGUAGUGUUAUAGCUUAUUGGAAUACUGCUAGCUGGGAUUGAGGACUGCGCUUCGGCAAGGAUGUUGGCAUAAUGGUUAAAUGCCGCCCGUCUAAAACC